UUGUGUCUAGCUGCCCUGCACUCUAUGGAAAAACAUUUACUGUGUACAAUGUGCAUGCCCUGUUACACAUCCAUGAAGAUGUCUCUCAUUUCAGGUGCUCUUUAAAUGACAUAUGUUGCUUUCCAUAUGAGAAUUAUUUGCAGCAGAUCAAAAGAUUGGUCAGGACUGGCCAAAAUCCAUUAGCGCAGGUGUCCAAACGCCUGGUCGAAAUCGAACAUGCCCAAGGGAAUUUCAGUGCACAGCCUGAGGCGAAGCCCCAAAUGUACAUUUCAACAAAAAGGAGAGAUAGCUGCUUCCUUAUGGAAGAUGAGAGGUUUGCUUUUCUUCAGGAGAGGAGGGGAGAUGGGACGGUUGUUUGCGAUGUGAUAAAACAGAGACACACUGUUGACCUGUUUGACAAACCAUGUCCGUCAAAGCUCUUGGACAUUGCUUAUAUAAGGAAUGGCCGUAGAUUCCAAAGAAAAGAAAUCAAGGAAAAAGACCUUGGACAAAAUGUAGCCUGUCUAGCUUUCAACAAUGGCUAUGUCAUGAUUCCUCUACGGCAUGGUAUUGAAUAUUCAUGUUGAAGAUUGGCCAGUCAAAAAGUUAUGCAUUUUGUCAGAGCCGUUUGGAAUGAAAAUGGGAUAGAAAUGGAGGGGACCAUCCCUGAUGCCUGGGUUAAUGUAGCUGAGAAAACCCUUCGGUGGCCAAAGACGAGGGCAAAAUAUUGUUUUGAAAACCAUGUGGCCCCUAAGGAGGACUGGGAAACUUUCCCAUUGUUAAAAGUGAAAUUUACUUCAGUCUCCAUGAGUGUGAGGAAUAAGAUCAAACUAGCCAUGCUGAACAAUGUGAAGAUGAAGACGAAGAGGUUGUAGUGCAAAAUAGGAUGAAAAAAACUAAAACUUUUGAAGAUUUUGUUGAAGGAUCUGACUUGUCUGAUGCGACUGCUGAGGGGGAGAAUAAAGAAGUGGGGAAAGGAGAUGCCAGUCCUAAAAUUCCGGUCUUUCCCACCCCACCAAUGAAAAUAUCAAAUAAUGGU